rnacentral:lncRNA from 1 species
AUCACGCCGACCGGCGACAACUCUUGAGACAGAGAGAUGCAAAGGUCAACCUGGAAGAGUGGGCUGACAGCCCCUAGCUACAGCGUUUUGGGAUCCACUGAAGCAGCAGCAAGUUGUGGACAUACUGUCUGUGGGCAGCAUCCAGCCAAUGACUGGGAUACGAAGGUCUUGAGUAUUUCUGCUCGAUGUGGCACUCCUCCAUGGACAUAUUUGCACUGGGGCUCCCCUUUGAACUGGCUGAGACGUUGUCAGAGCUACAUCAUCAUCUGAGGCUCCUCUCUACCCAAUCCUCCUUUCUUCCCCCUCUCUUUCACAAAUGUCAGACCUGCUUUGCAGUUUGAAGCCUUACCCUGCCCUCUCCUGCCCCAUUUAUUUCACAGGCAUUACUCUCAAUAAAUCUCUUGUACCCUUAACUCUUUCCAUCAUUUGCUUACCAGAGGAUAUGAAAAGAUACACAUUAUGCAAUUGUAACAUAACUUCUUUAUCUGUUCUCCUUUUUUUUUUUUUUUGAGACAUUCUGUUCCCUAGGCUGGAGUGCAGUGGAGUGAUCACGGCCCACUGCAGCUUUGACCUCCUGGGCUCAAGCUAUUCUCCCAACUCAGCCUCCCAAGUAGCUGGGAUUAUAGGUGUGAGCCACCACACCUGGCUAAAUAUAAAAAAAAUUUGUAAAGACGGAGUCUUCCUAUGUUUCCCAGGUUGGUCUCAAACUCCUGGGCUCAAGGGAUCCUCCUGCCUCAGGCUCUCAAAGUGUUGAGAUUACAGGUGUGAGCCGUCAUGCCCUGUUCUACUGUUGAUGAGCACUUUAUUUCCAGUCUUGGGGCACUCUGGAAAGUACUGCAAUAAACAUUCUUGUACAUGUAUGUAGGUGCACAUUUGCAUGCAUAUCAGUGUGAAAUAAUUGGUUACAGGUUAUGUGUAUGUCAGCUUUAGUAGAUCUUGUCAGAGUUUAACUAAAUGAUUUUACCAGUCUACAUUAUCACCAAUACGAUAUGAAAUUUCCACUUGCUCCCUAUACUUUCUUACACUUGGUGUUGUUGGUUUUAACAUUUCUAGCCAUUUAGUUUCUCUGAGGUCUAAUAAUAUUGAACAUGUUUUAAUAUGUUUAUUGGUCAUUUGUCUAUUCUUUUAUGUGAAAUGUCUAUUUAUAUGUGACUAUUUUUCUAUUUAUCUGUCUAUAUUUUGCUUCUUGAUUUGCGGG